rnacentral:rRNA from 1 species
UACGUAGGUGGCAAGCGUUGUCCGGAUUUACUGGGCGUAAAGAGCGCGCAGGCGGUUUGGUAAGUCUGCUGUGAAAUCUCCCGGCUCAACUGGGAGGGGUCAGCGGAUACUGCCAGGCUUGAGGCAGGCAGAGGAAGGUAGAAUUCCCGGUGUAGUGGUGAAAUGCGUAGAUAUCGGGAGGAAUACCAGUGGCGAAGGCGGCCUUCUGGGCCUGUCCUGACGCUGAGGCGCGAAAGCGUGGGGAGCGAACCGG